UGGCAGUGUAGUUAGCUGGUUGCUAUAAUGUGGGUGCAAUCACUAACGACAAUCGCCAGC
rnacentral:pre_miRNA from 1 species